rnacentral:rRNA from 2 species
GGCGUCCGAGUUGUAAUUUGUAGAGGAUGCUAUUGGGUUGCCACCGGUCUAAGUUCCUUGGAACAGGACGUCACAGAGGGUGAGAAUCCCGUACGUGACCGGCCAGGCGCUCUCUGUAUAGCUCCUUCGACGAGUCGGGUUGUUUGGGAAUGCAGCCCUAAAUGGGAGGUAAAUUUCUUCUAAAGCUAAAUACCGGCCAGAGACCGAUAGCGCACAAGUAGAGUGAUCGAAAGAUGAAAAGCACUUUGGAAAGAGAGUUAAAAAGCACGUGAAAUUGUUGAAAGGGAAGCGCUUGCAAUCAGUCUCGACGGCGGCUGUUCGGCCUCUCUUCUGAGUGGUUUAUUCAGUCGCCGCCGGGCCAGCAUCAGUUUCGGCGGCCGGACAAAGGCGCGGGGAAUGUAGCUCCCCCGGGAGUGUUAUAGCCCCGCGCGCAAUACGGCCCGCCGGGACUGAGGUCCGCGCUUCGGCUAGGAUGCUGGCGAAAUGGUUGUAAGCGGCCCGUCUUGAAACACGGACCAAGGAGUCUAACAUCUACGCGAGUGUUUGGGUGUCAAACCCGUGCGCGCAAUGAAAGUGAACGGAGGUGGGAACCGCAAGGUGCACCAUCGACCGAUCCUGAUGUCUUCGGAUGGAUUUGAGUAAGAGCGUAGCUGUUGGGACCCGAAAGAUGGUGAACUAUGCCUGAAUAGGGUGAAGCCAGAGGAAACUCUGGUGGAGGCUCGCAGCGGUUCUGACG